GCCCCGACUGUUUACUAAAAACACAACUAUCUGCAAUUAUGAAAAUAAUAGUAUAGGUAGUGAGAUUUGCCCAAUGCCAAAUUAAUAAGUAAUAAUAAUAGGUAACUGUUUCUUUACAAAAAAUUGGUUAAUAGCGGUCUUAACUAUGAGGAUCCUAAGGUAGCAAAAUAAAUUGGCCAUUAAAUGUGGUCCAGUAUCAAUAAUUUAACGAUGGCUUCACUGUCUCUACAACUUGCUCAGUGAAAUUGAAUUACCCGUGCAGAUGCGGGUUACCUCAAAGAGGACGGGAAGACCCUAUGCAGCUUCUACUAACCG
rnacentral:rRNA from 1 species